rnacentral:rRNA from 1 species
UACGUAGGCAGCAAACGUUGUUCGGAAUUACUGGGCGUAAAGAGUGUGUAGGCGGCUCUGUAAGUUUGGUGUGAAAUCUCCCGGCUUAACUGGGAGGGUGCGCCGAAAACUGCAAGGCUUGAGUGCUGGAGAGGAUAGCGGAAUUCCUGGUGUAGCGGUGAAAUGCGUAGAUAUCAGGAGGAACACCGAUGGCGAAGGCAGUGGUCUGGGCCGAUACUGACGCUGAGGAGCGAAAGCGUGGGGAGCGAACAGG